ACGGGAGGCAGCAGCUAAGAAUAUUCCGCAAUGGACGAAAGUCUGACGGAGCGACGCCGCGUGGAUGAUGAAGGUCGGAAGAUUGUAAAAUCCUUUUAUGACUGAGGAAUAAGUGAAGUGAGAGAAACGCUUCAUGGUAACUGUAGGUCAUGAAUAAGCAACGGCUAAUUACGUGCCAGCAGCCGCGGUAACACGUAAGUUGCGAGCGUUGUUCGGAAUUAUUGGGCGUAAAGGGCAUGUAGGCGGACCGGCAAGCUUGGUGUGGAAUCCCGUGGCUCAACCACGGAACUGCAUUGAGAACUACCGGACUAGAGUGAGUGAGGGGGAGCCGGAAUUCCAGGUGUAGGGGUGAAAUCUGUAGAUAUCUGGAAGAACACCAAUGGCGAAGGCAGGCUUCUAUCACAUGACUGACGCUGAGGUGCGAAGGUGCGGGGAUCAAACAGGAUUAGAUACCCUGGUA
rnacentral:rRNA from 1 species